rnacentral:rRNA from 1 species
UACAGAGGUCCCAAGCGUUGUUCGGAUUCACUGGGCGUAAAGGGUGCGUAGGCGGUCGGGUAAGUCUGAUGUGAAAUCUCACAGCUUAACUGUGAAACUGCAUUGGAUACUAUUCGGCUUGAGGCCGGUAGAGGUGGGUGGAACUCCUGGUGUAGCGGUGAAAUGCGCAGAUAUCAGGAGGAACACCGGUGGCGAAGGCGGGUCUCUGGGCCGUAACUGACGCUGAGGAGCGAAAGCGUGGGGAGCGAACAGG